UUGGCUUAGAAGCAGCCAUCCUUGAAAGAGUGCGUAAUAGCUCACUGGUCAAGUGAUCGUGCGCCGACAAUGUAGCGGGGCUCAAGCACACCGCCGAAGCCGCGGACCCAUGACGUUGUUCCCUUCACUGUGCGCCUUGUGCGUGUGGUGGCAGGGGUUGUGGGUGGUAGGGGAGCGUCCUGCACCGGGGGAAGCCUGUGGGUGACUGCUGGUGGACGGUGCGGGAGUGAGAAUGCAGGCAUGAGUAGCGAUACUAGGGUGAGAAGCCCUAGCGCCGAAUGACCAAGGGUUCCAGGGCCAGGCUAGUCCGCCCUGGGUGAGUCGGGACCUAAGGCGAGGCCGACAGGCGUAGUCGAUGGAUGACGGGUUGAUAUUCCCGUACCGGCGAAGCACCGCCCAUGCUGACGCGCGGGUGCUAACCCACGCCCAGCCACCAAGUUCAGCUGCGCCUACUCCUUUCGGGGGGUGGUGUGGUUGUGGUGGUGGGGUCUGGGGAUCCUCCGUGCAGGUAGGCAAGCGUGUUAACAGGGGUGACGCACAGUGGUAGCCCGGCGGACCUGAUGGCUUGGUCCGUUCAAGCGCGCAGCCCGUUCUCCAGGUAAAUCCGGGGGACUGUCUUUGAUGACGGGGGUGAGGCGUGAUGGUGACCUCACACUGGUGGGGGAUAACAGGGUGAUCCUGGGGUGCCGAGAAAAGCCUCGACGCGAUGGUGCCAGCCGCCCGUACCCUAAACCGACACAGGUGGUCGGGCAGAGUAUGCCUAGGCGCACGAGAUAAUCAUGGUUAAGGAACUCGGCAAAAUGCCCCCGUAACUUCGGGAGAAGGGGGGCCUGAUACUUGAUGAAACCUUUUUUUGGCUUUCUAGGGUUGAGGGUCGCAGAGACCAGGGAGAAGCGACUGUUUACUAAAAACACAGGUGCGUGCGAAGCCGUAAGGCGAUGUAUACGUACUGACGCCUGCCCGGUGCUGGAAGGUUAAGAGGAACCGUCAGCUGACUUUUUGUUGGUGAAGCGGUGAAUUUAAGCCCCAGUAAACGGCGGUGGUAACUAUAACCAUCCUAAGGUAGCGAAAUUCCUUGUCGGGUAAGUUCCGACCUGCACGAAUGGCGUAACGACUUCUCUACUGUCUCAACCAUGAACUCGGCGAAAUUGCAUUACGAGUAAAGAUGCUCGUUACGCGCAGAAGGACGGAAAGACCCCGGGACCUUUACUAUAGCUUGGUAUUGGUGCGCGUUAUAGCUUGUGUAGGAUAGGUGGGAGACUGUGAAGUGGUCACGCUAGUGAUUGUGGAGUCGUUGUUGAAAUACCACUCUGGUUAUAGCGUGUGCCUGAACCUUGGCCCGUGAUCCGGGUUAGGGACAGUGCCUGGUGGGUAGUUUAACUGGGGCGGUUGCCUCCUAAAUUGUAACGGAGGCGCUCAAAGGUUCCCUCAUCCUGGUCGGUAACCAGGUGUUGAGUGUAAGUGCACAAGGGAGCUUGACUGCGAGACUGACAGGUCGAGCAGGUACGAAAGUAGGAACUAGUGAUCCGGCGAUCCCGUGUGGGUGGGUCGUCGCUCAACGGAUAAAAGGUACCCCGGGGAUAACAGGCUGAUCCUGCCCAAGAGUCCAUAUCGACGGCAUGGUUUGGCACCUCGAUGUCGGCUCGUCGC
rnacentral:rRNA from 1 species